UCUGGCCACCUGCCCUAAGACAGCUGUGUCAGGUUGGCAAUCACUGUUUGCUUUAAUAGCACCUCAGUGUAUGAGUCAUUGUGUGGCUGGCUCUCUGCUGGGAAAGGUCUGCUCCCAUCGGGCGGAACUCGCCCCUGCACCAUCUGUGAGCCUUUGGCCUCGCUCUCUUCAUCUCUCCUUCCAUCAAGGCACCGUCGGGACUCUGCAUGGCAGGGAUGUCCUCCUCCCUAAACCAAGACUAAGCUUGACCACACACACAAAAUGGCAGUCCUGGGGCUGGAGUUUCUCUGUCAAACCAAACCAAGAUGGCUGUCUCCAAGAAAAGCGAUAGGAGAUACGUUAAUCGUGUCCAGGUGGGCGAUCCACACACCUGAUCUCGUUUGUGGAGUCGCCUCGCCGCUCGCUCGCCAUCCCCGCCUCCUCGCCGCCAUUUUGGGACGGGCUCCAGCGUGCCCUGGCUGUCUGUCAGACCGUCGGCUCCGCCUCUCCACUCAAAUUCUUCUACUGCUUUAUUUGUUGCCAGAGUUUGUAAAAAAUUGACAAACAACAACAAAACAAAAUUUUUGACCUAUUCAGUCUAAAAUGGAUCAUAUACUGGUACUUCCAACAGUGCUGACACACCAACAAUUGCUGUUAUAUUAUCCUCUAUUUGACUAUUUAACUCUUUUUAAUCUAUUUGUAAUUUAUUGUUAAUAAUAGCUUACUUUCUGCUGUAACAUUGUCCUAUCUACACCUCUUAAAGUUUACUCCGCACUUAUUUUUUGAUGUUGUCUGAAACUUGCUUAUCAGUUAGCUUAGAUAUUACCUUAGCCACUAGCUAUUAUUAGCAUUCCUGUCAUGAUCCAUGGUCCAGAUCAUUUUUUUGUGUUUUCUGUUAGUUUUAGACUUGUUAAGUUCCUGCUUGUGCACCUCUGAGUUUGUUACCUUAGCUACUUAUUAUUUUCACCUGCCUCUUGUGUUCGGGACGCUCACCUGUUGCUCAUCAGAGCCAUUUUUUAAGCCUGCCUUUGCCGGUAACUCGUCCUGGGUUCUUUGUUUGCGUCACGCUCUUGUUUCGUAAGUUUUGCUUGUCUCCUAGCCCAUGUUAAGUGUUUAGCUUCAAGUGCGAUUGGCACGUUGUUCCGUUGGGUAUGUUUUCUGUUUUUGUACAUCUUUGAGUUUUUUCAAGAUUAAAUCAUGUUCCUGCCCGGAGUCGUCCGUUUGCAUCCCGGGAGAACAAACCGCGCAGUAAGCUACAACCCCGCCGUAACAAUUCUUUCUCCUGACAUGCUUUGUAUUUAACAAGCCUUUUCCUCCAGUGAUAAUGCUACAUGUUAAUGCUAGUAAUUUUCUGAGAAAUGCAGUGUAUGCCCAAAUGGAGGUGAUUAUCAUUAGCUUUGCGGCUCCACAAUGUGUAUGGCAUAGAAGUGGGAAUCUUUGGGCACCUCCCGAUUCCAAUUCAAUCCAAUCCACUUUAUUUGCAUAACAAAGUGCUGCACAACAAUAUUAAAAACAAUAUUACAUUUAUUAUCCUUAGCUCCACCAAUGACUGAAUUAAAAAAAUGAAACCAAUAUAAAAAAAUAUAAAAAUAAAUAUGAUUAAAAACGAUUUUAAAGUGUAAAACCAAUUAAAACAAAUAGAAAUUUAAAAAAACAACCUACAAUUUGAUUAAAAUGUAUUAUUGAUGCAUCUUUAAUAUAUGUAUAUUAAUACAGUUUCACGUUUAUUUUUGUUUCACUAAAUAAGCGUUUAUUACUUGCAACUUUUAAAAACAGUGCAUUUGUAAUAAGCAGAGUAUUCGCGGGGUCUUAAAAAGUCUUAAAUCCAAUAUUUUGAAUUUCCAUCCAUUUUCUACUUCUUAUUCCCUUUUGGGGUCGCGGGGGGCACUGGCGCCUAUCUCAGCUACGAUCGCUACACCCUGGACAAGUCGCCACCCUCACAUUCACACACUAGGGCCAAUUUUAGUGUUGCCAAUCAACCUAUCCCUGGGUGCAUGUCUUUGGAAUUUAAGGCUUUAAAAUGUCUAAAAUUUUCCUAAAAUCUAAAAAAAAAAAAGGUCUUAAAUACGAUUUUGAAAGGUCUUAAAAAUCUAUUGAUAUUACUUUUAUUUAAAACAUGCAUAAACCUCAGUCUCGCUUUGAAAUGUUUCCAUUUUUGAGGACGCCAUAACGUAACUACAAAGCGGAACUAAAUUCGCUGCCCGUUCACAAUUUAUAGUUUGGCAUUUUUUUUUAAUUCUGACUUCCAAACAAAUGUUGGUUCACAACAGAGAGGCAUUUGGUGUUUUUAGUUGGGUCAAGCGCUUUGUAUUCGGAUGUGAAAAAACUGUGAAUAAAUUCAUAUACUUUGCAA